GCUGGCGUAGCUCAGUUGGUAGAGCAUCUGAUUUGUAAUCAGAGGGUCGGGGGUUCGAGUCCCUCCGCCAGCACCA
rnacentral:tRNA from 1 species